rnacentral:misc_RNA from 1 species
AAAAAAAAUAAAAGGCAGUUUCAUUAUGGUGGUAUACCAGCCGCCUGUUCUGGAACUUCCAGUUCCAAUCAAAGCAUAUAGAUCCGUAAAUAGAUUUGUAUGUAUAGCCACUUCAGUCGUGCUCGUCGUUUCUCGAAAGUAUCUUUUUUCUGGGAACAUGGUCAACCAGAAAUUAUUAUGUUCGCGAUUCUUCAUCCACCGAUGCAGAAAAUGCUCCAGUUUUCCAUUCUCAUAUGAGGCCGGAAAGUUUAUUAGCAACAGGUCGGCACGAAGUGAUUCAUCAUGCUCAAACAUGAGCCGAUCGUUCGUUAGGGACGGUUUAUAGAUCAUCAAAUUCCCACAAAUGGAAUGAAAAGUGGGUCCAUGUAAAUGAUCGAGACCUCGCAAACAACAACGCUCCUUCCCCAUAUGGAGUUCGGAACCCAAAGGCAAUCGUUGAGUGAACUGUAUCUUCUUUGUGUUAGACAGAAGAACACCCAACAUACAAAUGCACACUCCUCCAUGUGAAAUAUUCAU